rnacentral:rRNA from 1 species
AUUCGCGGCCUAUCAGCUUGUUGGAGAGGUAACGGCUCACCAAGGCAUCGACGGGUAGCUGGUCUGAGAGGAUGAUCAGCCACACUGGGACUGAGACACGGCCCAGACUCCUACGGGAGGCAGCAGUGGGGAAUCUUGCACAAUGGGCGAAAGCCUGAUGCAACAACGCCGCGUGCGGGAAGAAGGCCCUAGGGUUGUAAACCGCUUUCAGCAGGGAAGAAAAUGACGGUACCUGCAGAAGAAGGUGCGGCCAACUACGUGCCAGCAGCCGCGGUGACACGUAGGCACCAAGCGUUAUCCGGAUUUAUUGGGCGUAAAGAGCUCGUAGGCGGUUCGGUAAGUCGGGUGUGAAAACUCUGGGCUCAACCCAGAGACGCCACCCGAUACUGCUGUGACUAGAGUGCGGUAGGGGAGCGGGGAAUUCCUGGUGUAGCGGUGAAAUGCGCAGAUAUCAGGAGGAACACCAGCGGCGAAGGCGCCGCUCUGGGCCGUAACUGACGCUGAGGAGCGAAAGCAUGGGUAGCAAACAGGAUUAGAUACCCUGGUAGUCCAUGCCGUAAACGUUGGGCACUAGGUGUGGGUCUCAACCAACGAGAUCCGCGCCGUCGCUAACGCAUUAAGUGCCCCGCCUGGGGAGUACGG